GCUAGCGGCUAGUUAAACCACUUGGGGAAUGGCUCGGUUCGGGCGCCGAAGAAGGUCGUGCCAAGCUGCGAUAUGCACCGGGUAAGCGCAAGGAGCUUUUGAUCCGGUGAUUACCGAAUGGGACUUCCUGCUCUUCGGAGCAAUCCGUGAGGAUAGGGAACCGGGGGAAUUGAAGCAUCUUAGUACCCUGAGGAAAAGAAAUCAACCGAGAUGCCGUUAAUAAAGGCGAUCGAACGCGGCGUAGGGCAAACUGAAUCCUCCCGAGAAAUCGGGCGGAGAUGUGGUGUUGCAGACUCCUCUACAUCUUAACUCGUCAAUCCGAAAUCGCCUGGAAUGGCGUGCCACAGAGGGUGACAGCCCUGUAGGGAUACGCGAGAAAGAUGAUUCUGGAUGUUCUAGAGUAUUGCGCCUUGGAUCUGGCGUGAGAAGCUGGGAGCCAUUUGCUUCCAACCCUAAAUACGACCCGAGACCGAUAGUGCAGUAGUAGCGUGAGCGAAAGCUGAAAAGCACCCUUAACGGGAGGUGCAAAGAGCCUGAAACCAGGUGGUGACAUCAUUAUGCAGCGUGCAAGGGACGAAGCUCGAAAGAGUGGACCGACGUUGCAUUAUCCGUUUCGAAUAACGGGCCAGGGAGUUCGGAUCGAUGGCGAGGUUAAUCGGGAAACCGAGCAACCGUAGGGAAACCGACAAGUCCGCAGCCCGCAAGGGUCAGGGACGAGGUGGGCUCGCCUGUAGUCAUCGGUGAGAGACCCGAAGCCAGUUGAUCUAGGCGUGGAUAGGUUGAAGCCCAGGGAAACCUGGGUGGAGGACCGAACCCGUGUUGAGGUGCAAAUCACUGGGAUGAUCUGCGUCUAGGGGUGAAAGGCCAAUCUAAACUGGAUAUAGCUGGUCCCCCCCGAAACUACUCGCAGGUAGAUCUCGGACGAGGCAGACGAUGGGGUAGAGCGACCGAUCAGACAUUUAGGGGGAGAAAUCCCUCGGUGUCUUGUCAAACUCCGAACCUGUUGUCGCCGUAGACUCCGGGAGUGAGCGUAUGAGGGGUAAGCCCUGUACGCAAAAGGGGAACAACCCAGCCUCAAGUUAAGGUCCCUAAAUGCUGACUAAGUGUUAAAGGGUAAAAGGAGUCCUCAGUCUAAGACAACUGGGAUGUGGGCUUAGAAGCAGCCACCAUUCAAAGAUAGCGUAACAGCUCACCAGUCAAGAUUGUGGGCCCUGAAAAUGGACGGGGCUAAGUCAGCUACCGAUACUUGGGAGUACCGGAAGGUAAUCUGGUAGGGGGGCGUCGUGUGCGGGCGGAAGUUCGGCCGUGAGGUCGAAUGGACCGCAUUCGAAUGAGGAUCCUGGUGGGAGUAGCAGCAAAGAGCGGUGAGAAUCCGCUCGGCCGUAGGGGCAAGGGUUCCUCGACAAUGUUCGUCAGUCGAGGGUUAGUCGAUCCUAAGACGUUCCUUAACCGAGAACGUCGAAAGGGUAAGCAGGUUAAUAUUCCUGCACCGUCGCGAUCUCUGCGCACAUCCUGACGCAUCUGGGUAAGCUGAACAGGAGCGCCAAUCUGUUCAAGUGUAUAAGCCUGGGAAGAACCGUAAUGGUGAGAACCGGGCGAAAGCACGAGUAGGAGGGCGAAGGCCCUCUUCAGCCUAUCCCUGGUGCCCGUGAAAAGGGGUGUGCUAAACAAUUGCGAUGUUCGUACCAAGAACCGACACAGGUGCCCCUGGAUGAGAAGUCCAAGGCCUGUCGGCGUUAAUUGACGCGAGGGAACUCGGCAAAUUAGCCACGUAACUUAGGGAGAAGUGGUGCCAGCUCAGUGAUGAGCUGGUCGCAGUGACAAGGGAGCCCCGACUGUUUAACCAAAACAAAGGUGGCAGCUAGUCCGAAAGGAUGCGUAUUGCCGCUGAAUCCUGCCCAGUGACGGUAUCUGAACACCCUUUUCAAGGGGAAGAAGGACCGUUAAACGGCGGGGGUAACUAUGACCCUCUUAAGGUAGCGUAAUACCUUGUCGCUUAAUUGGCGACUUGCAUGAAGGCCCAACGAGAGCUCUACUGUCCCCGCGUCGAGGCCGGUGAAACCUACUUUAACGGCGCACAGUCCGUUAUCUUCCAGCUGAAAGCGAAGACCCCGUGGAGCUUUACUGCAACCUGUCGUUGUGGUAUGAGUUCGAAUGUGUAGUGUAGGCGGGAGACGUUACCAGGUGCCAGCCGCUAGGUUGGCACCGAGUCAAAAUUGAAACACCGCCCUUUCGAACUCGUAUCACUUACAUCUUCGGAUGGACACCGGUAGGUGGGCAGUUUGGGUGGGGCGCCACGCCCUCGAAAAAGUAACAAGGGCGCCCAAUGGUCGGCUCAGGUAGGUCAGAAAUCUACCGAAGAGUGCAAGGGCAAAAGCCGGCUUGACGUGGAUCAGCCCAAUAAUGAUCUACGAUGAGAAAUCAGGGCCUAGCGAACCACUGUGCCUCACAAAUGGGGGCCAGUGAUUACAGAGAAGUUACCCCGGGGAUAACUGAGUCGUCUCCAGCAAGAGUUCAUAUCGACCUGGAGGCUUGCUACUUCGCUGUCGGUUCUUCCUAUCCUGGUGGUGCAGCAGCUGCCAAGGGUGGGGUUGUUCGCCCAUUAAAAGGGAUCGUGAACUGGGUUCAGACCGUCGUGAGACAGGUUUGUUGCUUUUUGCUGGAAGUGUUUUGAUGCCUGACGGUAAGGAUCCUUUAGUACGAGAGGAACGAGGAUCCGUCGCCUCUAGUCUAUCAGUUGUCCGGCAGGGCAAUGCUGAGCAGCCACGCGAUAGUGGAUAAAAGCUGAAAGCAUCUAAGCUUGAAGCCACCCCGAAAACGAGGCAUCUCACGGCCGCCAUUACAUGAUGGCGUUGAUAGAGCCGGGAUGUAAGUGCCAAGGUUCGCCGAGGCAUUCAGUCCGCGGCCACUAAGCGUCGUAGUCGCUAUACAC
rnacentral:rRNA from 1 species